rnacentral:lncRNA from 1 species
GAGGGAGGGGACACACUUGGUGUCUGAGAAGCAGACUGGCGAAGGUUUGGUGGGUAGUUUUGAGAAGGCAUGUAAGCUGUCUCUUCAGGAAGGUGGCCUAAUGAAGACUGAGAGAGAGGCAGCUGAGGUGGCUGAGAGUAUUGCGGCUGUGGUGGCUGAGAGUAAGGUGGUGGUGGGGUAGGUUGAUAUGGUUGGUGUGGAGGAGCUGGAGGAGGGGCCUGUGACUGCUGAGUUGGAGGAACUGGGUAUUGUUGACUUGGGACAUCUUGAGUUUGACCAGGUAUUG